UACAGAGGUCUCAAGCGUUGUUCGGAUUCAUUGGGCGUAAAGGGUGCGUAGGCGGCGCGGUAAGUCGGGUGUGAAAUUUCGAGGCUUAACUUCGAAACUGCAUUCGAUACUGCCGUGCUUGAGGACUGGAGAGGAGACUGGAAUUUACGGUGUAGCGGUGAAAUGCGUAGAUAUCGAUAAGGAAGACCAGUGGCGAAGGCGGGUCUCUGGACAGUUCCUGACGUGAGGCACGAAGCCAGGGGAGCAAACGGG
rnacentral:rRNA from 1 species